rnacentral:rRNA from 1 species
UACGUAGGGACCGAGCGUUGUCCGGAUUCAUUGGGCGUAAAGAGCUCGUAGGCGGCUGCUCAAGUCGAAUGUGAAAACUCGAGGCUCAACCUCGAGCCUGCAUUCGAUACUGGGCGGCUAGAGUCUGGUAGGGGGAUCUGGAAUUCCUGGUGUAGCGGUGGAAUGCGCAGAUAUCAGGAGGAACACCGGUGGCGAAGGCGGGAUCCUGGGCCAGUACUGACGCUGAGGCGCGAAAGCCAGGGGAGCAAACGGG